CAACAAAAAAUCACUUUUGGUCUAAAUGUCAGUUUUUCAGGCCGAGAAAAAAGUCAAUGUGUCAGAAGUCAAGCAAAAAUGUCAAAAAUUAAAUAAUAAUAAAUAAGCAAAAGUGAAAAGCGCAAAAACUUAAUUAAGGCCAAAGGAAAAACCCCAGCCAAAAAUUUAAAUGUCAGCCAAAGAAAGCAAGUGGCAAGAAACCCCACAAAAAUGGAGCUUUCAAAAGCCAAACACUAAAAUAUUUGGCUCGAAGGUCGCAGGCGACGCCAAUUGACGCCCAACAACAGCAAAAUACAGCUAAAAGUGUAACAACAACGACAAC